rnacentral:rRNA from 1 species
GCUUGUCUCAAAGAUUAAGCCAUGCAUGUCUAAGUAUAAGCACUUAUACCGUGAAACUGCGAAUGGCUCAUUACAUCAGUUAUAGUUUAUUUGAUAGUCCCCACUACUUGGAUAACCGUAGUAAUUCUAGAGCUAAUACAUGCAUCAAGCCCUGACAGCAAUGAAAGGGUGGAUUUAUUAGAUGGAAACCAAUGCGGGGCAACCCGGAUUAUGGUGAUUCAUAAUAACUUUCAGAUCGAUCGCAAGAUCGAUGCAUCAUUCAAGUUUCUGCCCUAUCAGCUUUGGAUGGUAGGGUAUUGGCCUACCAUGGCUUUAACGGGUAACGGAGAAUUAGGGUUCGAUUCCGGAGAGGGAGCCUGAGAAACGGCUACCACAUCCAAGGAAGGCAGCAGG